rnacentral:rRNA from 1 species
AACGAACGCUGGCGGCAUGCCUAACACAUGCAAGUCGAACGAGAUCUUCGGGUCUAGUGGCGCACGGGUGCGUAACGCGUGGGAAUCUGCCCUUUGGUUCGGAAUAACAGUUGGAAACGACUGCUAAUACCGGGUGAUGACGGAAGUCCAAAGAUUUAUCGCCAGAGGAUGAGCCCGCGUAGGAUUAGCUAGUUGGUGUGGUAAAGGCGCACCAAGGCGACGAUCCUUAGCUGGUCUGAGAGGAUGAUCAGCCACACUGGGACUGAGACACGGCCCAGACUCCUACGGGAGGCAGCAGUGGGGAAUAUUGGACAAUGGGCGAAAGCCUGAUCCAGCAAUGCCGCGUGAGUGAUGAAGGCCUUAGGGUUGUAAAGCUCUUUUACCCGGGAUGAUAAUGACAGUACCGGGAGAAUAAGCUCCGGCUAACUCCGUGCCAGCCGCCGUAAGAC